AAAAGAAUUAACCAUCUUGUGCAAAAAGAAAAUUUUCCACUAUUUUUUUAAAGUUUCUAUUUUGGGUAAAUCAUUUCAAGAUAACAAAUUGGAGAGAGAGAGAGAGAAAAAUUAGCCUUUUUAAGAUGCAGUUUAUUUUGCCCCAUGAUGUUUUUGUUUUUACCAGAGCCUUUACUGUGAGUAGGACAGGACUCAGGAGUCCUCUGAACAAAAAGAAGCGUUGAAGCUUCAUUUGGUUGUUGGAAUUAGGAGAGCACAAUUGGUUGGAAGGAAAGCAGUUUCUCUCAAAAAAAAAAAAAAAAAAAAAGCCAGCGUGCUGGUGCGGGUCCAUGGUCCAAGCUACUUGGGAGGCUGAGGUGGGGGGAUCGCUUGAGCCCGGAAGUCGAGGCUAUAGUGAGCCGUGAUUGCACCACUGCACUCCAGCCUGGGCGACAGAACAAGACCCUGUCUCUUAAAACAAACAAACAAGAAACAAAACAAAACAACAACAAAAAAAAUCAUUUGGGAAUGUUUCUGCGCGUGCCCAGAAGCAGAGCCUGUGCCCCACAGUCAGCUUCUUACUUGGAGGGUAGAGAACGGUGCUUCCCCACGCUACUGUGCAAUGGAGAGGAGCUAUGUGAAGCUGGCCUAUGGGUGGGGUUUGCAGGCUUCGUCCGGCUUCAUCGCCGGCUGCUGACCCGGCACCAAUUCCUGUUCUGCAGGUCCCACCGCAGAGGGGCACGCCAGCCAUGAGGACAGAUGAGGGAACACGUGAUGCCACGAUGGGGGUGCCAGGAUGCGGUGGGUGCGGUCGCGGACAGGCGCACGAGGAGCCCAGCGGAGCGCCACCCGGAGCAGGCGCGGAGGAGGGCUGGGGAGGGCCACCAAGGCGACGAGAGCCGGUGUGCCUGAAUCAGCCUAAAGGAGACGGAGGAGGAGUGUGGGGGCGGUGCUGCUUUAGUUUUGGCCUGGUCGGGGUUGAGCGGAGGAGGGAGCGACUUCGAAUUCAGUCUGCACCGGACUGA
ensembl:lncRNA